rnacentral:rRNA from 1 species
UACGUAGGGGGCUAGCGUUGUCCGGAAUCAUUGGGCGUAAAGCGCGUGUAGGCGGCUCGGUAAGUCCGCUGUGAAAGUCGGGGGGCUCAACCCUCGGAUGCCGGUGGAUACUGUCGGGCUAGAGUACGGAAGAGGCGAGUGGAAUUCCUGGUGUAGCGGUGAAAUGCGCAGAUAUCAGGAGGAACACCAAUUGCGAAGGCAGCUCGCUGGGACGUUACUGACGCUGAGACGCGAAAGCGUGGGGAGCAAACAGG